UACGUAGGGUCCGAGCGUUGUCCGGAAUUACUGGGCGUAAAGAGCUCGUAGGUGGUUUGUCACGUUGUUCGUGAAAACCCACAGCUCAACUGUGGGCGUGCGGGCGAUACGGGCAGACUAGAGUACUGCAGGGGAGACUGGAAUUCCUGGUGUAGCGGUGGAAUGCGCAGAUAUCAGGAGGAACACCGGUGGCGAAGGCGGGUCUCUGGGCAGUAACUGACGCUGAGGAGCGAAAGCGUGGGGAGCGAACAGG
rnacentral:rRNA from 1 species